rnacentral:rRNA from 1 species
GAUGAACGCUAGCUACAGGCUUAACACAUGCAAGUCGAGGGGAAACGACAUCGAAAGCUUGCUUUUGGUGGGCGUCGACCGGCGCACGGGUGAGUAACGCGUAUCCAACCUGCCCACCACUUGGGGAUAACCUUGCGAAAGUAAGACUAAUGCCCAAUGACAUUUAUAGAAGGCAUCUGAAAUGAAUUAAAGAUUUAUCGGUGAUGGAUGGGGAUGCGUCUGAUUAGCUUGUUGGCGGGGUAACGGCCCACCAAGGCGACGAUCAGUAGGGGUUCUGAGAGGAUGAACGGCCACAUUGGGACUGAGACACGGCCCAAACUCCUACGGGAGGCAGCAGUGGGGGAAUCUUCCGCAAUGGGCGCAAGCCUGACGGAGCAACGCCGCGUGAGUGAAGAAGGUUUACGGUA